GCUAUAAUAACGUGGAACUCAUUCAAAAUUUAGGAGCGUUAUUCAGUACUAGUUGAGCAUUAGUUAUAUUAAAUAGAAAAUGAAAUAGUAAAUCAAAUGGAUAAUCAGGCGUUAUAUCUCGAUAAUUGCAGUUGUUGUUGUCGCAACUUGGAUGUAAGGACCUCGUACCUUUAUACCCUGGACGAAACUGGUGGAGUAGAGCCAAUCGUAAUCAUAAUAAUAGAAAUUGGAAAAUAUAUAUAACCUGUGGA
rnacentral:lncRNA from 1 species